UACGUAGGGUGCGAGCGUUGUCCGGAAUUAUUGGGCGUAAAGGGCUCGUAGGCGGUCUGUCGCGUCGAUCGUGAAAACUUGGGGCUUAACCCUGAGCUUGCGGUCGAUACGGGCAUGACUGGAGUUCGGCAGGAGAGACUGGAAUUCCUGGUGUAGCGGUGAAAUGCGCAGAUAUCAGGAGGAACACCGGUGGCGAAGGCGGGUCUCUGGGCCGAUACUGACGCUGAGGAGCGAAAGCGUGGGGAGCGAACAGG
rnacentral:rRNA from 1 species